AACGAACGCUGGCGGCAUGCCUAACACAUGCGAGUCGAACGAGACCUUCGGGUCUAGUGGCGCACGGGUGCGUAACGCGUGGGAACCUGCCCUUAGGUUCGGAAUAACUCCCCGAAAGGGGUGCUAAUACCGGAUAAUGUCUUCGGACCAAAGAUUUAUCGCCUUUGGAUGGGCCCGCGUUGGAUUAGCUAGUUGGUAGGGUAAAAGCCUACCAAGGCGACGAUCCAUAGCUGGUCUGAGAGGAUGAUCAGCCACACUGGGACUGAGACACGGCCCAGACUCCUACGGGAGGCAGCAGUGGGGAAUAUUGGACAAUGGGCGAAAGCCUGAUCCAGCAAUGCCGCGUGAGUGAUGAAGGCCUGAGGGUUGUAAAGCUCUUUUACCCGGGAUGAUAAUGACAGUACCGGGAGAAUAAGCUCCGGCUAACUCCG
rnacentral:rRNA from 1 species